CUUCUGCAAAAGUUUGGUGAUUUUUCCAAGGGGGCCGAUCAGAGGAUCUACUCAACUGAGGCCCUCGGGAGUUUAUUGCAAGCCCGGUUCCACCAUACUAUAAUGCAAGGCUGGUUUUUAUUUCUUCAUUUAUUCUUUUUGAGACUCCCUGCGCCA